AUCAGCCUCUCAAAGCCUGUAUCUAUGGUGAUUGACUUGAUCAGUUUUAAAAAUAGGCUGACAGUAGCAAUGGUCUGAUUAAGCCUUUGUCUAAGAGGGGCAAGAGAGAUGCUGAGUGGGAAAAUGGUGCCUCGGCUGAUGACUUGAGAUAGACCCCUGGAUCCCACAUAGUGAAAGAAGAAAACAGACUCCUGUCUCAUGUUGCCCAGGCUAGCCUCCAUCUCUGGAUGUGUGGAAGGAUGAUCUUAAAUUUCAGAUCCUCCCACUUCUACCUCUCGAGUGUUGGAGUUACAGCCAUGUACUGCCAUAGUUGGUUACACAGUGAUGGGGAAUCAAACCAGAGCCUGAUGCACGCUGGAUAUGCACUCUACAGCCAAGGUGAAGUUAAAAUGAAGCACUUAGGGUAGAUCCUAGUCCAGGGCCUUGGGAAUCCAGACAAACACAAAAGGGUGAAGACACAGAAAUCAGACAAGUAAAGAAGCCGAGGCUCAUCAAAUCCUGGAACUGUGACCGACUCUAACCCUGAAGUCCUUGCGUUCAUUUAACCCUUUAAGGAAGGGUACGGAGGUGUACAUUCAUCCUUUAUUACAAAGCCUAUGUCUGAUAUGGAAAAAGAAAAGCUUUAUUCGGAACCUUUGGAAGAAUCUUAAGACUAUGAUUUCGUCUUUGGUCACUCCUUUGGAAUUUUUUGACGCGGGCAUUAACAUGGGCUAAGGUGGUCCUCGCAGCCCCACCCACGGGCGCACUUCCAGCUUCCGGCAGCAGGGGGAGCAUGUGUGCAAGAGGAGGAAAGGUGCACCCGGCAGGAAGUGUCAGUGCAUGGUCUGUCCUUAGCAGGUCCAGGCUAAGAAUACAUUCAUUUUUCUCCUUCAACAUUUAGAACCAGUGGCUGCAGGCUUCUCUACAGAGAUUCAUGCUUCCUCGUUUGUAAAGCCGGGAAAACAGUUCUGGGACUUGUAGAAAGAGGUCUCUGCUGCAUCCAAGGGAGGAAAAAAAAAUCUCAUGAAGGAGCCAGGCUUGGCUGCUGGCUUCUGUUGAGAAAGGAGAACUCAGCAAGCAGGACAAAGGGCCACCCUGAGUGCAAGCAGCACAGGACUUCUCCCGUUGACUUCCUGAGACCACCUCAAGGCUUGGAAGCUGCGCUAGUUCUGGCUUCUCCAAUGGUACAGGCUUGGGUCUCAGGCACCUGUAGGUGCUACUCACAUGGCAGAGCCCGUGAAUUAUGGCAGAGCCCGUGAAUUUCU
rnacentral:lncRNA from 1 species